rnacentral:rRNA from 1 species
GUAGAGGAUGCUUCUGGGCAGCGGCCGGUCUAAGUUCCUUGGAACAGGACGUCAUAGAGGGUGAGAAUCCCGUAUGCGACCGGUUGGCACCCGUCACGUAGCUCCUUCGACGAGUCGAGUUGUUUGGGAAUGCAGCUCUAAAUGGGUGGUAAAUUCCAUCUAAAGCUAAAUACCGGCCAGAGACCGAUAGCGCACAAGUAGAGUGAUCGAAAGAUGAAAAGCACUUUGGAAAGAGAGUUAAAAAGCACGUGAAAUUGUUGAAAGGGAAGCGCAUGCAACCAGACUUGUCGGCGGUGUUCCGCCGGUCUUCUGACCGGUCUACUCGCCGCCGACAGGCCAGCAUCGUGUGGGUGUGCCGGAUAAAGGCGUCGGGAAUGUGGCCCCUCGGGGUGUUAUAGCCCGGCGCAUAAUACGGUGCCGCCCGCGCGAGGUCCGCGCUUCGGCUAGGAUGCUGGCGUAAUGGUCGUAUGCGGCCCGUCUUGAAACACGGACCAAGGAGUCUAACAUCUGUGCGAGUGUUCGGGUGUCAAACCCCUACGCGGAAUGAAAGUGAACGGAGGUGGGAGCUUCGGCGCACCAUCGACCGAUCCUGAUGUCCUCGGAUGGAUUUGAGUAAGAGCAUAGCUGUUGGGACCCGAAAGAUGGUGAACUAUGCCUGAAUAGGGUGAAGCCAGAGGAAACUCUGGUGGAGGCUCGCAGCGGUUCUGACGUGCAAAUCGAUCGUCAAAUUUGGGUAUAGGGGCGAAAGA